UACGUAGGGUGCGAGCGUUGUCCGGAAUUAUUGGGCGUAAAGGGCUCGUAGGCGGUUUGUCGCGUCGGGAGUGAAAACUCAGGGCUUAACCCUGAGCCUGCUUCCGAUACGGGCAGACUAGAGGUAUGCAGGGGAGAAUGGAAUUCCUGGUGUAGCGGUGAAAUGCGCAGAUAUCAGGAGGAACACCGGUGGCGAAGGCGGGUCUCUGGGCAGUAACUGACGCUGAGGAGCGAAAGCGUGGGGAGCAAACAGG
rnacentral:rRNA from 1 species